GGUUGGUCCGAGUGCAGUGGUGUUUACAACUAAUUGAUCGCAACCAGUUACAGAUUCCUUUGUUCCCUCUCCACUCCCACUGCUCCACUUGACCAGCCUUAA
ensembl:misc_RNA Y_RNA Y RNA